CCUACGGGAGGCAGCAGUGAGGAAUAUUGGUCAAUGGACGAGAGUCUGAACCAGCCAAGUAGCGUGAAGGAUGACUGCCCUAUGGGUUGUAAACUUCUUUUAUAUGGGAAUAAAAUGUUCCACGUGUGGGAUUUUGUAUGUACCAUAUGAAUAAGGAUCGGCUAACUCCGUGCCAGCAGCCGCGGUAAUACGGAGGAUCCGAGCGUUAUCCGGAUUUAUUGGGUUUAAAGGGAGCGUAGGUGGAUUGUUAAGUUAGUUGUGAAAGUUUGCGGCUCAACCGUAAAAUUGCAGUUGAAACUGGCAGUCGUGGGUACAGUAGAGGUGGGCGGAAUUCGUGGUGUAGCGGUGAAAUGCUUAGAUAUCACGAAGAACUCCGAUUGCGGAGGCAGCUCACUGGACUGCAACUGACACUGAGGCUCGAAAGUGUGGGUAUCAAACAGGAUUAGAUACCCGGGUAGUC
rnacentral:rRNA from 1 species